rnacentral:hammerhead_ribozyme from 1 species
GUAUGAAUGACGAGUCCCACAAUAGGACGAAAUGAUCGUCCAAUGC